rnacentral:rRNA from 1 species
UCGAAUCUUCGGAUUCAAAGAGAGAGUGGCGAACGGGUGGGUGACACGUAAUAAACAUGCCCAUCAGACGAGGAUAACCAUUGGAAACGAUGGCUAAUACUGGAUAGGAUAUUUUAUCGCAUGGUGAAUUAUUAAAGGAGCUUUCAAGCUUCACUGACGGAUGGUCUUGCGGUGCAUUAGCUAGUUGGUGGGUAACGGCCUACCAAGGCGACGAUGCAUAGCUGGUCUGAGAGGAUGAAC